rnacentral:rRNA from 1 species
AGCGAACGCUGGCGGCAGGCCUAACACAUGCAAGUCGAACGAAGUCUUCGGACUUAGUGGCGGACGGGUGAGUAACACGUGGAAACGUACCUUUUGGUUCGGAACAACUCAGGGAAACUUGAGCUAAUACCGGAUGAGCCCUUAGGGGGAAAGAUUUAUCGCCGAAAGAGCGGCCCGCGUUAGAUUAGCUAGUUGGUGAGGUAAAGGCUCACCAAGGCUACGAUCUAUAGCUGGUCUGAGACGAUGAUCAGCCACACUGGGACUGAGACACGGCCCAGACUCCUACGGGAGGCAGCAGUGGGGAAUCUUGCGCAAUGGGCGAAAGCCUGACGCAGCCAUGCCGCGUGAAUGAUGAAGGUCUUAGGAUUGUAAAAUUCUUUUACCAGGGACGAUAAUGACGGUACCUGGAGAAAAAGCCCCGGCUAACUUCGUGCCAGCCGCCGCCGUAACAC